CUUAGUGGCGAACGGGUGAGUAACGCGUGAGUAACCUGCCCUGGAGUGGGGGGACAACAGUUGGAAACGACUGCUAAUACCGCAUAAGCCCACGGCCCGGCAUCGGGCUGAGGGAAAAGGAUUUAUUCGCUUCAGGAUGGACUCGCGUCCAAUUAGCUAGUUGGUGAGGUAACGGCCCACCAAGGCGACGAUUGGUAGCCGGACUGAGAGGUUGAACGGCCACAUUGGGACUGAGACACGGCCCAG
rnacentral:rRNA from 1 species